rnacentral:rRNA from 1 species
CCCGCCGGCGACCGGCGCACGGGUGAGUAACACGUAUGCAACCUGGCCGCCACAGGGGGAUAACCCGCGGAAACGCGGCCUAAUACCCCGUGACGCCACCGGAGGGCAUCCUCCGGUAGCCAAAGGAGCGAUCCGGUGGCGGAUGGGCAUGCGGCGCAUUAGCUAGACGGCGGGGUGACGGCCCACCGUGGCGACGAUGCGUAGGGGUUUUGAGAGGAAGGCCCCCCACACUGGGACUGAGACACGGCCCAGACUCCUACGGGAGGCAGCAG